rnacentral:ncRNA from 2 species
AAUAGUCUUCGGGGAAGGUGAGAAAGACAGAAGGUCUUUCAACUCCUUACCGGCAGUGAAAAACAUCGUUGUUUGUAAAUGAAACGAAGUUUUAAGUCUGCGACUCCGCCGGAACAAUGUUCCAAAGCGGACUGAAUCAGUGAAACUCUGAUACCGACGGUAAAGUCCGGAUGAGAGAAGAUAAAA